UACAGAGGGUGCGAGCGUUGUCCGGAAUCACUGGGCGUAAAGGGCGCGUAGGCGGUCGGCGAAGCGUGUGGUGAAAGCCCGGGGCUCAACCCCGGGUCGGCCAUGCGAACUGGCCGACUGGAGCACGGUAGAGGCCAAUGGAAUUCCGGGUGUAGCGGUGGAAUGCGUAGAGAUCCGGAAGAACACCGGUGGCGAAGGCGGUUGGCUGGGCCGUGGCUGACGCUGAGGCGCGAAAGCGUGGGGAGCAAACAGG
rnacentral:rRNA from 1 species